GAGCAAGAAGAGAGGGUUCUGGGUAGAGGAAACCCCACCUGCAAUGACCAAGGUGCAAAGAGCUUGCAUAUGUUGCUUCUUACUAUGUGUCAGACCUCAUGUGAGGUACUGGAGUGCAGAGCUGAAUAAGACACAGGCCAGCUCUCAGACAGCCUACAGUCUGAGUGGAGGAGACCACCAAGGACAUGAACCCACCUCAGGAGUGCUUCUUGGCACCUCUUCCACGAACCUCCCAUUGCUGAUCUCACUGCCCAGUUACUCCAUGUCUCAGAACACCCAGAAUCUCGAUGUCUGGCCUCACGGGCACUCUUCAUCUGGCCCAUUUUCAAACACCUGUUGAGAGACCUCCAGAAUUAAUACUUACGUAACAGCUUUCGGGCCACACUUGGAAGAAUGAUGCCCUCCAGCCCCCUGUGAGACGCUCUGCACAUGGAUAUGCUUUAUGGAAUCCAUUGGAAACUUUCUGCCAAGUACUCUUCCAGAUGUCUGAGGGGAUGCACAGAGGAGUCUUUGUAGAGGGAGGUCCUUCUGUGGUGAUGCUUGCAGGCAGAUUUGGGUGUGGAUCCCAGUUCUAAGUAGUUUCAUGAUCCUAGAUGUGUUACCUAAAUAUGGCCUUGACCUGAAGCUAGGUUCUUAAACUCUUUUGUGCCGUGGAUUUCAUUGAUAGGCUGGAGAGGCCUUAUGGAUCUCUUCUGAGAAUGUUUUAAUGUUUAAUGUCUUAAAUGCAGAAAA